rnacentral:tRNA from 1 species
UCCACGGUGGUCCAGUGGUUAGGACUUGGUGCUUUCACUGCCAGGGCCCAGGUUUGAUCCUGGUUGGGAAA